AGGAGACGGGACUUGGAGGGCUGGACCAUGGCUGGCAGGGCAGGAGGGGGAGUUUCCAGAGAUGCGCCUGGCUGUGACAGGCAGCUGAGUGUAUGGGGGGUCCACAGAGGUGACUCAUCACGCCUGCCUCCAAGCACCCUCUGACCUGCCACCCUGUCCCCUCUAAGCAGGUCUGCCCCCAUCCCCGGCCACGCACAGGGGGCUAUCCAAGCUCUCCCACGAAGGAGAUUCUCACAUUCGCUGUGUGUGUGCAGGUGACCUUACAGCAGCACACUUUCCUGUAGGGCUAACUUCAGCCUCGGCUGCCACAUUAGAAACCAUUUUGCCUUGUUCAAAGCCACAUAGGUGCUGACCUGUUAGCGAUUUGACCCGAGCACCUUAGCCCCCAUCCUAGCACAUAAUGGCUCCAGGGCAGGGCCUGGGGCAGAUGGGAGGUGUCAGGUGACCUGCAAUUAUUCUGCCACCAGCCUGCCAUUAUUCUGCCACCAGCCUGCAGUUUAGCUCCUGCCAUUGAAGAAUCAGCUUUUGUGUUACCACCCAGCUCUUAAGUCCAGGUAGGCCCUGGGGAGAGGGUGAAGGUGUAAGCAUCCCUGUGUCACAGAUGGAGAAACUGAGCAUGUGUGUCAAGAUCAGAGGUGGUUACCAUGAAGCUAAGGAAGCCGCACAGCCCCUCACUGGCAUGGCUCCUCUGGGCCCUGGGAAAGGUCCCAGUAGCAUGUUCACGCAGCCACGUGUCUCUGCAAAUUUUGCUGCAGAUUUCUUUGGUAUAUUCCUUCUUAAACAAGGCCCUUCAAAAUGUGUAAGCUCAGGCCUCAUAAAACCUGGAACUUCCUUGGUCAAGAGCAUGAGCUCUAGGAGCUGGAGUCCUGCGUCCUAAUCUCAACCACUAAUUAUUGGCGUGACUGCAGGCAUUUUAUCUAAUCCUCCUGAGUGCCCUCAUCUGUAAAGUGGCGUUAAUAAUAGUUCUGACCCCUUAA